rnacentral:rRNA from 1 species
AUUGAACGCUGGCGGCAUGCCUUACACAUGCAAGUCGAACGGCAGCACGGGAGCAAUCCUGGUGGCGAGUGGCGAACGGGUGAGUAAUAUAUCGGAACGUGCCCAGUAGUGGGGGAUAGCCCGGCGAAAGCCGGAUUAAUACCGCAUGAGACCUGAGGGUGAAAGCGGGGGAUCGCAAGACCUCGCGCUAUUGGAGCGGCCGAUAUCAGAUUAGCUAGUUGGUGGGGUAAAGGCCUACCAAGGCAACGAUCUGUAGUUGGUCUGAGAGGACGACCAGCCACACUGGGACUGAGACACGGCCCAGACUCCUACGGGAGGCAGCAGUGGGGAAUUUUGGACAAUGGGCGCAAGCCUGAUCCAGCAAUGCCGCGUGCGGGAAGAAGGCCUUCGGGUUGUAAACUGCUUUUGUCAGGGAAGAAAUCCUCUGGGUUAAUACCUCGGGGGGAUGACGGUACCUGAAGAAUAAGCACCGGCUAACUACGUGCCAGCCGCCGCAGUAAAAC